rnacentral:misc_RNA from 1 species
GAUGAAGAACGUAGCGAAAUGCGAUAAGUAAUGUGAAUUGCAGAAUUCAGUGAAUCAUCGAAUCUUUGAACGCACCUUGCGCCUUUUGGUAUUCCGAAAGGCACACCUGUUUGAGCGUCAUGAAUACCUCAAUCUCCAUCUUUUCUUCGGAUUGAUGGGUGACUUGGAUGUUGAGCCCUGCUGGUAUGCUAUAUCAGCUGGCUUUAAACUUAUUAGCCGGCUCUGUACUGGAUCGGUUUGACUCGACGUGAUAAUAUUAUCGUUGAGGAUGCAUGUCUCAUGCAGCAGGAAAGUAUCAAAGCGGCUUCUAGCUUGCCUUUAGUGCACUUUUACAUUUUAGACCUCAGAUCAGGUGGGACUACCCGCUGAACUUAAGCAUAUCAAUAAGCGGAGGA